UUCAAACCCCAAAUCACCAUCUCUCCUGCCGCUUUCCAUUUCUCUUGCCUUUUCCAUUUCCCUUUCCCUUCCCAUUUCCUUCAUCUGUCGCUUUCCAUUUCUCUUGCCUUUUCCAUUUCCCUUUCCCUUCCCCUUUCCUUCAUCUGCCGCUUUCCAUUUCUCUUGCCUUUUCCAUUUCCCUUUCCUUUCCUCUUUCCUUCAUCUUCUUCAGCCGAAGGAAGACCCAGCGUCGACACUUCUCCUUGCCAUCGAACAUCCGUUCGCCGGUCGUCGUGUCUCCCAACUGCGCUCAAUCGCCCCCUCGACCCUUCAUUUGUCCAGAGCUAGCAGCAUUGUGAUGCUUUCUACUUACAUUGCUUUCUUGGUCUUUCAACUCUGGAUUCAUCGACAACUAUUUGAAGUUAAGGUUAUAGCUUGCAAAAAUAAAGGGUGAUGGUGGAUCCAUUGCAGCAGCUUUGGUUGAUGGGGACAAGGGAAGAGGGCACACCUUCUAAAACUCUGAAACCUCCCUCUUCAUCCUAGGUGAUAUAAUUAACCUUCCUUCCUUUUGCCUAUUUUCAUUCCCAAGUUCUUGAUAAAUUGAUAUUUGUUUACUUGUUACACAUAAGAAAUAGCUCCAACACCUUCAUAUCCUGAUUGAUCAAGCUCAGUGCAGGUCUAUCUAUAUGGUUUUUUGAUUUCAUACUAAUUGUUGUUGAAUUCAUAAAAACCUAGAAUAGUAUAAUUCAAACAUUUAGAAUAGUAACAAAGAUGUCGAUGAAUACUACUGGCUUAAAGUUUAGCCUCUUCUGUAACUGUAGGCUUAUUAUAGUUCUGGUGCAACUCCACCUCCAUUCUUUGCAUCUACUAUUGCUUCUCCAACUCCCCACCCUUACAUCUCGGGACGUCAGCAUCUUUUGAUGUUACCUUAUGGGACUCCAAUACCUUAUCCAACUAUAUAUCAUUGUGACUCUAAUCAAUGUUGAAUAUGAAGGGAAAUCCCUUGAUGGAAAAGAAAGGGCCUAAAAAAAUUCAAGGGCAUGUUAGGAAAUACUGCUUCAGCUGGCGGUAGGGAGAGUGGAAAGGUGGCUUCAAGUUCUGGAAAUGAUGGUGCUUCUCAAAGGUGUUUUAACUUGAGACUUGGUGCAGGGUCUAUUAAUGAGCCUGAUUCUUCGAGUAGGGAACCUAAUUCUAAAGCUUAAGCUCAUAACGACCUAGUUUAAGGUUAUGGCAAGGAGGAAAUACCGCUGGCCCUGGUGUGGUGUUUUUUCUUUUAAAGAUUUUUUUAAAAAAAUCUUUGUGAUAUGUGGUUUGCUUGCUUUGAACAACCUUUUUUUUUCUUAAAUAAGUUGGUUUCUGUUUUUUACAUUUUUGUUUUGUUUGUGAUAUGGGCACUUAGUUACGUAGGUUUCGGUUGCGAGGACUUGCAAUUGUGUAUUUGUAUAUUUUUUUGCUUCAGUAGAGGCAGCUUGACAUUAAGUUUAAGGAAUCUGCUGAUGACCAGAGACAGUGAUGAACAGAGAUAGAGAAUGAUUGAAGUUAUAUCGGGUUGAAAGCUGAGCGAUUGUGUAGAUAGUCAGGCGAUCGUUGAAGGUUGAAGAUUGAAGAUUUAGAAGACGUUUAGAAUUUUUCUUAUUUACGUCUUGUAUUAGGAUCUUUUUUCAUGUACUGUUGUAGAAUAUAUAAACAUAAUAUUAAGUUUUCAGUUUGUGUAUACAAAUGUAAAAGAUAAAUAUUAUAGUUUCUAAAAUAUAUUAAUUUUAUUGA